GAUCAUAGCACGUUGAAACACCGCUUCCCGUGCGAUCACCAACGUUAAGCAACGUUGACCUUCGUUAAUAUCUAGAUGGGUAACCACUUGGGAAUAUAAGUUGC